rnacentral:rRNA from 1 species
UACGUAGGGCGCAAGCGUUGUCCGGAAUUAUUGGGCGUAAAGAGCUCGUAGGCGGCUUGUCACGUCGAUUGUGAAAGCCCGAGGCUUAACCUCGGGUCUGCAGUCGAUACGGGCUAGCUAGAGUGUGGUAGGGGAGAUCGGAAUUCCUGGUGUAGCGGUGAAAUGCGCAGAUAUCAGGAGGAACACCAGUGGCGAAGGCGGUUGCCUGGAGCUUUGCUGACGCUGAGGCGCGAAAGCGUGGGGAGCGAUCCGG